CAGCAGCCGCAGUAAUACGUAGGUGGCAAGCGUUGUCCGGAAUUAUUGGGCGUAAAGCGCGCGCAGGCGGUCCUUUAAGUCUGAUGUGAAAUCUUGCGGCUCAACCGCAAGCGGCCAUUGGAAACUGGGGGACUUGAGUGCAGGAGAGGGAAGUGGAAUUCCACGUGUAGCGGUGAAAUGCGUAGAGAUGUGGAGGAACACCAGUGGCGAAGGCGGCUUCCUGGCCUGUAACUGACGCUGAGGCGCGAAAGCGUGGGGAGCAAACAGGAUUAGAUACCCUGGUAGUCCACGCCGUAAACGAUGAGUGCUAAGUGUUAGGGGGUUUCCGCCCCUUAGUGCUGCAGCUAACGCAUUAAGCACUCCGCCUGGGGAGUACGGCCGCAAGGCUGAAACUUAAAGGAAUUGGCGGG
rnacentral:rRNA from 1 species